GUGCUUGCUUCAGUGGAACAUAUACUAAAUUGGAAUGAUAUAGAAAAGAUUAGCAUAGCCCCUGUGCAAUGAUGACAUGCAAAUUAGUGAAGUGUUCCAUAUUUUA